GAUGAAGAACGUAGCGAAAUGCGAUAUGUAAUGUGAAUUGCAGAAUUCAGUGAAUCAUCGAGUCUUUGAACGCACAUUGCGCCCCCUGGUAUUCCGGGGGGCAUGCCUGUCCGAGCGUCAUUGCUGCCCUCAAGCACGGCUUGUGUGUUGGGCCCCCGUCCCCGGUUCUCCCCGGGGACGGGCCCGAAAGGCAGCGGCGGCACCGCGUCCGAUCCUCGAGCGUAUGGGGCUUUGUCACCCGCUCUGUAGGCCCGGCCGGCGCCAGCCGACACCCCAACUUUAUUUUCUAAGGUUGACCUCGGAUCAGGUAGGGAUACCCGCUGAACUUAAGCAUAUCAAUAAGCGGAGGA
rnacentral:misc_RNA from 1 species